rnacentral:snRNA from 1 species
UCCACUUUUGAUUAAAUAUCAAUAAAAACCCGUCAAAAAAAAUUUCUUAUCAGUUUAAUAUCUGAUACGUCCCCCAUCCGGGGACUACAUAUUAAAUGGAUUUUUAGAUCAUGGAGCUGGAGCCGGGGCUUGCUCCAUCCACUCCACGCAUCAGCCUGGUAUUGCAGUGUCUCCAGGAACGGUGUGCUUCCC